rnacentral:rRNA from 1 species
UACGGAGGGUGCAAGCGUUGCUCGGAAUUAUUGGGCGUAAAGGGUAGGUAGGUGGUCUCAUUUGUCUGGGGUGAAAGCCUUGAGCUUAACUCAAGAAGUGCCCCAGAAACGGUGAGACUGGAGUCUUGGAGAGGGUCGUGGAAUUCCCGGUGUAGCGGUGAAAUGCGUAGAGAUCGGGAGGAACACCAAUUGCGAAGGCAGCUCGCUGGGACGUUACUGACGCUGAGACGCGAAAGCGUGGGGAGCAAACAGG